GAUGAACGCUAGCUACAGGCUUAACACAUGCAAGUCGAGGGGCAGCGGUAUCGUAAGCUUGCUUUCGGUAGCCGGCGACCGGCGCACGGGUGAGUAACGCGUAUCGAACCUGCCUCAUACUCGGGAAUAGCCUUGCGAAAGUAAGAUUAAUGCCCGGUGUUUUCAGAGUCCCGCAUGAGGCUUUGAACAAAGAUUUAUCGGUAUGAGAUGGCGAUGCGUCCCAUUAGCUUGUUGGCGGGGUAACGGCCCACCAAGGCAUCGAUGGGUAGGGGUUCUGAGAGGAAUGUCCCCCACAUGGGAAUUGUGACACGGUCCACAAUCGUACGGCAGGCAGCAGUGAGGAGUGUUGCUCAAGGGGGGAAAGCCUGAAACAGCCAAGUAGCGUGAAGGAACACGGCCGUCUGGGUUGUAAACUGCUUUUAGUUGGGAACAAAACGGGGCUCGUGAGCCACAUUGCCUGUACCAGAAGAAAAAGGACCGGCUAACUCCGUG
rnacentral:rRNA from 1 species